rnacentral:misc_RNA from 1 species
AAGUGGGGCAUGCAUGGGAGUUGCCAGCAAACACAUUUGGUGCUGCCUAUGCAAGAUUCAUGGGAUCCAGGAACUUUUCCCCAGAUGAUCGCCCUCCUGUGCGGUUUAUGGACACAGACGAACUGGCAUACGUAGCCAUGAGAGCUAGAGAAGUGCAUGACUUCUGGCACACGCUAUUUGACCUCCCCACGAACCUAAUUGGUGAGUCAGCACUGAAGGUGAUAGAGUUUGAACAAAUGUACCUUCCAAUGUGUCUAAUGUCUGUUGUAGGGGGCACAGCAAGAUUUAGUGAGAAGCAAAGAAGAUUGUUCUUUCAGAACUACUUCCCAUGGGCCAUCCGAGCUGGAAUGCAGUGCACAAAUCUCAUGUGUAUAUAUUAUGAGAAGCACUUUCAUGAGGAAUUAGAUGAUGUCCGUAGAAAAUGGGGUAUAAUUCCUGCUCCUAUUGCUCCUAAACAAGAUAUAGCCUGAUUGAGGAUUACUUUACCGUGUCACUCAGAAAAAUAUGUACAGAAAUAAAGAAAGAUUUGUUGGCGAACAUAUUGUUUCUUCAUUACAUGUUAUUUAUGUUCACUAGCAAG